rnacentral:rRNA from 1 species
AGCGAACGCUGGCGGCAGGCCUAACACAUGCAAGUCGAACGAACUCUUCGGAGUUAGUGGCGGACGGGUGCGUAACACGUGGGAACGUGCCUUUUGGUUCGGAAUAACUCAGGGAAACUUGUGCUAAUACCGAAUGUGCCCUUCGGGGGAAAGAUUUAUCGCCAUUAGAGCGGCCCGCGUCUGAUUAGCUAGUUGGUGAGGUAACGGCUCACCAAGGCGACGAUCAGUAGCUGGUCUGAGAGGAUGACCAGCCACACUGGGACUGAGACACGGCCCAGACUCCUACGGGAGGCAGCAGUGGGGAAUCUUGCGCAAUGGGCGAAAGCCUGACGCAGCCAUGCCGCGUGAAUGAUGAAGGUCUUAGGAUUGUAAAAUUCUUUCACCGGGGACGAUAAUGACGGUACCCGGAGAAGAAGCCCCGGCUAACUUCGU